AAUACUCGACAUUAGAUGAUCAAACAUGUAAUCCAAACUUAUACAUAUGACGUACGGGCAUAUAAGGCCGGCAUGAUCCUUUAUAUACUCAAAACAUAGCUGACAAGGCCAUACAAGAAUCUGUAUACAUGACAUCUAUCUACAAGCCUCUAAGAAUAUAUAAUAUCAUAAAGGACGGGACAUAGCCCCGCUAUACUAAACAAUACACAUCUAAAUUAUACUAACCAAACAAGCAACUCCGGAGGUGCACCAACAUUUUCCUCUGAGCUGAUCGCCUACUUGGAGGACUCUCGAUUUGUAUAUCAGGACCUGGGGGCAUGAAACGUAGCGUUCCCAGGCAAAAGGAACGCCAGUACAAAUAAUGUACCGAGUAUGUAAGGAAUGAAAAUCAGUAGACAAUAGACAUGAGAGAAACAUGGAGUAAAAGACUUGACAUGUAAAUCUGAAUAGCUCUGUGAAAUCCUUUAAUAUUUAAAAUGUCAUGCAUACACAUAUAAAUGUCAUGUUGUACAUAGGUACAUAUAUUCAUAAUAUCAUCAAGCCUCUGUAGGCAUCCCAUCAUAUCAUCUCGGCCACUGUGGGCAAAAUCAUCAACGUAUGUUAGUUGAUCAGGUGGUGGUGCGUAUAUAACGCCAUAACCUUUCUCACAUUAUAUAUACAUAUAUAUACAUAUAUAUACAUAUAUAUACAUAUAUAUACAUAUAUAUACAUAUAUAUAUAUAUAUACGCAUAUAUAACGCCAUCUAGUCAUGGGUCAAUGUGCAUAUGUAAAUGCAUGUGAAAAUAUGUUAAUAAAAUCUCUCAGUACGUCAUAAGACCAUUAUGCCUCUAACUAAUAUCAUGAAAUAAAUUUUACCAACUUAUGUAUUUUUGGGACCCAUGAACAGAUGAUAGAAUAAUAUGACACAUAGGGAAUCAAGAACAUCGACAUCUCUAGUAUUUCUAUGAAUUGAGUCAUUUAUGGAAUUUGUGUAUUUUCUCGUUUCGUUCGUGUCGUAUAAAUCAUGCCAAAAAGAAAGAAGGGAUAGCCUUAACAUACCUGGGCCGAUUCUCUUGAUAAUCUCUCUAACACAUGUUAAUUGCGACAACACGUAACGGGGAUCGAAGUAGGGAAAAAUCCAUAUGAUAUUCUUGAGAAAGAUUGCACUGUACUCCCUUAGAAUCGUAAAACCCCGUUGCUAUUAUGCUAAGAAGUUUCGUUUGAAUUUUUGCCUCGAGAAAACCACGUUACUACCAUAUAGAUCCUCAUAUGAAUUGGCUGAAUCCUUCAUCUUAA
rnacentral:lncRNA from 1 species